rnacentral:rRNA from 1 species
CGCCUCUUGAAAUCAUUAGAGGUCCAGCCUGCCCAGUGACUCUUGUUCAACGGCCGCGGUAUCCUAACCGUGCGAAGGUAGCGUAAUCACUUGUCUCCUAAAUAGAGACUAGUAUGAAAGGCAUCACGAGGGUUUAACUGUCUCCUGUAUCUAAUCAGUGAACCUAAUCUCCUCGUGAAAAAGCGAGGAUUCUCAUACAAGACGAGAAGACCCUAUGGAGCUUAAAACAUCUUACACGCACUUCUUAUUUAAAUUUCCCCCUCACCCCACAAGUACGAUGAUUUCAUGUUUUUGGUUGGGGUGACCGCGGAGAAAACCACAUCCCCCGCAGUGAAAGGAGCUACUCCUUAAAGAAAAGUUACAACUUUAUAUAUUAAUAUAUUAACACCUAUUGACCCAAUAAAUUGAUUAAUGAACCAAGUUACCCUAGGGAUAACAGCGCAAUCCACUUCCAGAGCCCCUAUCGACAAGUGGGCUUACGACCUCGAUGUUGGAUCGGGAUAUCCUAGUGGUGCAGCCGCUACUAAGGGUUCGUUUGUUCAACGAUUAAAACCCC